rnacentral:rRNA from 1 species
GACGAACGCUGGCGGCGUGCCUAAUACAUGCAAGUCGAGCGAAGUUUUUCUGGUGCUUGCCCUAGAAAAACUUAGCGGCGAACGGGUGAGUAACACGUAAAGAACCUGCCUCAUAGACUGGGACAACUAUUGGAAACGAUAGCUAAUACCGGAUAACAGUAUUUCUCGCAUGAGAGAUAUUUAAAAGUUGGUUAUGCUAACACUAUGAGAUGGCUUUGCGGUGCAUUAGCUAGUUGGUGGGGUAAAGGCCCACCAAGGCGACGAUGCAUAGCCGACCUGAGAGGGUGAUCGGCCACACUGGGACUGAGACACGGCCCAGACUCCUACGGGAGGCAGCAGGAGGGAAUCUUCCGCAAUGGGCGAAAGCCUGACGGAGCAACGCCGCGUGAGUGAAGAAGGAUUUCGGUUCGUAAAGCUCUGUUGUUAGGGAAGAAUGGAUAUGUAGUAACUAUACAUGUAAGAGACGGUACCUAACCAGAAAGCCACGGCUAACUACGU